CGUUCUUCCGCCUAUCCUUGAGACCUAUUAUCAACAAUGUCAGGUGACUGACCUUAGGGGUUGGCUAUUAUAGAACAUCCGGAACCAACCACUUCCUUUUGCCUUUCUCACCUCAUCUGAGGCCAAAGCGGUAGAGCUCAUCUCAGCUUAAUUACGGGAGACAGUGUAGUUCCAAUUCGUCACAUUUUCGUGAAGGUGCUUCACGUUCCUGAAGAUUGCGGUGGAUCUCUCCUCAUAUAUAUCUUGGAGUGUCGUUGGAACACACGUUGCGUUAGCGUGAGCUGAGAUCGGUCGGAUGACGAGGCUCAGGUAUAAACACCGUACCUCUGGAUGAACCCAUGGACCCGCAAGCUGAGGUCUCGCCCUUUACAACUCUCUCCUCUCCUCUAUCAUUUUUAAAAACAAAUCUCUUACUCUUUGUUUGUUUGUAUCGUUGGGGGGUCAUUAAAGGACUAAACAUUGGCCAGAUCACAAAGAGAGGGGUGGUUAAUAUGUUUCAGCGGCUCCAUUAGUCAAAGUGUGUGUGGGGGUAUGCAGUGUGUGUGUGUGUGUG
ensembl:lncRNA